rnacentral:lncRNA from 1 species
AGCACGUUUCUCUUUCCUUACAGUGUUGUUCUUCAGAUAACUGCUUUUUCCAGACUGCUUCCGUUUUCUACAGUCCUGAAUGGCAGGAAUCUUUCUCACAUCCUGAUAGUAUCUACAGUCCUGAAUGGCAGGAAUCUUUCUCACAUCCUGAUAGUAUCUACGGUCCUGAAUGGCAGGAAUCUUUCUCACAUCCUGAUAGUAUCUACGGUCCUGAAUGGCAGGAAUUUUUCUCACAUCCUGAUAGUAUCUACGGUCCUGAAUGGCAGGAAUCUUUCUCACAUCCUGAUAGUAUCUACGGUCCUGAAUGGCAGGAAUCUUUCUCACAUCCUGAUAGUAUCUACGGUCCUGAAUGGCAGCAAUCUUUCUCACAUCCUGAUAGUAUCUACGGUCCUGAAUGGCAGGAAUCUUUCUCACAUCCUGAUAGUAUCUACGGUCCUGAAUGGCAGGAAUCUUUCUCACAUCCUGAUAGUAUCUACGGUCCUGAAUGGCAGGAAUCAUUCUCACAUCCUGAUAGUAUCUACGGUCCUGAAUGGCAGGAAUCUUUCUCACAUCCUGAUAGUAUCUACGGUCCUGAAUGGCAGGAAUCUUUCUCACAUCCUGAUAGUAUCUACGGUCCUGAAUGGCAGGAAUCAUUCUCACAUCCUGAUAGUAUCUACGGUCCUGAAUGGCAGGAAUUUUUCUCACAUCCUGAUAGUAUCUACGGUCCUGAAUGGCAGGAAUCUUUCUCACAUCCUGAUAGUAUCUACGGUCCUGAAUGGCAGGAAUCUUUCUCACAUCCUGAUAGUAUCUACGGUCCUGAAUGGCAGGAAUCUUUCUCACAUCCUGAUAGUAUCUACGGUCCUGAAUGGCAGGAAUCUUUCUCACAUCCUGAUAGUAUCUACGGUCCUGAAUGGCAGGAAUCUUUCUCACAUCCUGAUAGUAUCUACGGUCCUGAAUGGCAGGAAUCUUUCUCACAUCCUGAUAGUAUCUACGGUCCUGAAUGGCAGGAAUCUUUCUCACAUCCUGAUAGUAUCUACGGUCCUGAAUGGCAGGAAUCUUUCUCACAUCCUGAUAGUAUCUACGGUCCUGAAUGGCAGGAAUCUUUCUCACAUCCUGAUAGUAUCUACGGUCCUGAAUGGCAGGAAUCUUUCUCACAUCCUGAUAGUAUCUACGGUCCUGAAUGGCAGCAAUCUUUCUCACAUCCUGAUAGUAUCUACGGUCCUGAAUGGCAGGAAUCUUUCUCACAUCCUGAUAGUAUCUACGGUCCUGAAUGGCAGGAAUCUUUCUCACAUCCUGAUAGUAUCUACGGUCCUGAAUGGCAGGAAUCUUUCUCACAUCCUGAUAGUAUCUACGGUCCUGAAUGGCAGGAAUCUUUCUCACAUCCUGAUAGUAUCUACGGUCCUGAAUGGCAGGAAUCUUUCUCACAUCCUGAUAGUAUCUACGGUCCUGAAUGGCAGGAAUCUUUCUCACAUCCUGAUAGUAUCUACGGUCCUGAAUGGCAGGAAUCUUUCUCACAUCCUGAUAGUAUCUACGGUCCUGAAUGGCAGGAAUCUUUCUCACAUCCUGAUAGUAUCUACGGUCCUGAAUGGCAGGAAUCUUUCUCACAUCCUGAUAGUAUCUACGGUCCUGCUUUUAUACCUGACAUUGUACUUUGUUAUAAAACCUGCUGUUUCACCGCUGUAUUGUUCCAUGCACUUACUUAGAGAAUGUACAGAUUUACACCCCUGGCUUGGAAAUAAAAUAAAAGUUGUUCAUGUCACUUCU